AUGUCUUCUUGUGAAAUUGGAUGCUGUUGUAAAGAGCAGAUCUAUGCUGUGGGCUUCUGCUGUUCAUUUAACUUGCAGUUCUCUAAUAAAGCUUUAAGCAAAUAUUACAGAUGUCUCCCAAAGAGAAACAGAUUGCGUGUCGGUGGCAAACAUCUGGCUGUUUCAAUCAACUCUGGCCUUUGGUUUGUUACCCAGGAAACGCCUUCCGUGUUCCCUCUGCUGUCCUGCUGUGACUCCAGCAUCAGGGAGCAGAAGGGGAGCGUUACCUUUGGCUGUUUGCUUGCUGGAUCAUCCACAAGGACAUCAAAAAUCAUAUGGCAACCUGACGAGCCAGGGAAAAAGGAAUUCCCAGAAGUACAAGGGAACGGAAAUCGGUGGCUCAGCACCAGUCAGCUCACAGUCCCAUUCUCGACCUUCCAAACAAUGCCUUACACCUGCACUGUACAGCAGUCCAAUGGAGGCACACAGAAUGGCCCUUCGGCCACCAUCAAUUCCAAGGAAUGUAAUUGGGCACCCCCAAAGCCUGUCCAAGUUCAGAUCUUAACCCCCGACUGUGAUGCACAGGCCACGGACUCCAUCCUGGAGCUGGUUUGCGUCCUUCAGAGCCUUGGCCCUGGAAAAGCCAGCGUGGAAUGGCUGAAGAAUGGACAAGCAGAGCCAGAGAAAGUAGAGGUGACGUUGGCCACUGGCAAGGACAAGAGCGGUGGUUACUUCAGCUUUGUCCAACGGAACAUCAACAAAGACAGCUGGGACAAAGGGGACCUCUACACCUGUAAAGUGACUCGUUCACUGAAUGUGACCAUGCAGAACACCAGCAAGUGCCAAGCCUGCUACAGUUCAAUGCGUCAACGUGCCGUCUUCAUCACCAAGCCAUCCUACAGAGAGCUGCUUGAGAGGACAGCAACCGUCACCUGCACUGUAGUUGGCCCCAGCCUCGAAAACACCCAAAUAACCUGGCAGGUGGAUGGCAGGCCCAGCACUGGUGGUCGGAAGAGCACAGUCAAGACAGAUGCCAAUGGCAAUCAGAACGUGAUAGCUACCCACCCGGUAUCUUUGGAGCAAUGGAAGAAGGGGACCCAAAUCGCUUGCAAAGUGGCCGGAGAUUGCUAUGAAGAAGACACCAAAGAAGUCACAAUCCAAAAGGACCCACGAUCCACAAAGCCUUCCAUUGCCAUUUCUCGAGCUAACCUCGCCCCCUCACCCAAGAGCCCCAUGGCCCUGAUUCUCCUCUGUGAUGUGAGUGGUUUUUCCCCCAUGGAAAUUAGCAUCUCUUGGAAGAAGGAUAACAUCCCCUUGAACGAAAAGCUGUUUGAGAAUGGGAAUGCGACACCAGCCGGGGAUGUGUACUCUACUUACAGCAUCCUGAAAAUUGGCCGAGAUGAACCACGGCCAAAGGCGGGCAGCUACAGUUGUGUGGUCCACCAUUCCUCAUCUGAAGAGCCCAUCACUGCCAGUGAAGAUGUACCCAUUGGUGAUGGAGAAGAUUGUAACCCAAAGGUCCAAGUGAAAACCAUCCCGCCAUCCUUUGCUGAUACUUACCAGACCGGGUCAGCCAAGCUGACCUGCAGAGUCUUCAAUAUACCGAUUGAUGAAGAUCUUCAGGACCUGAAUGUCACCUGGAUGCGAGCAUCUGACAAACAACUACUGAAGACUGUACUUGAGCAGGGCAUAGACAGAGAAAGUAGCGAGAUGGUAUUCAUUGAUGCAAUAGCUACUGUGAGCGUAGAUGAGUGGAACAAAGGGGAAACCUUUGAAAGUAAAAUUAUUCACCCAAAAUUAUUUCCUUCAAUGGAAGUCAAGUCCCUGAGCAAGCCUAAAGAUGGCACCUCCAGUGUGCCAUACGUCUACAUUCUCCCCCCGCCCUCGGAACAACUGGCUUUGAAGGAAACCGCCACCAUCACUUGCCUGAUAAAAGGAUUUUAUCCUAGUGAUAUCUUUGUCAAGUGGCUUCAGAACGAUCAGCCAAUAGAUGCUUCCGGAUACAUCACCAGCAACCCCAUGCAGGAGUCCAAGAAACCUGAGCGGUACAUCGCCUAUAGUAUGUUGAACAUCAGUCAAGAGGCCUGGAGUUCUGGAGUCAUUUAUACUUGUUUGGUGGGACAUGAGACAUUGCCCUUCCACACAACUCAGAAGACCAUAGACAAGAACACUGGUAAACCAACCAAUGUCAACGUCUCCCUAGUGCUUACUGACACUACCUCUUCUUGCUAUUAACCACCGUUUAAUUUGCCUUGCACAACUUCAUAUCUCCCUAAUUCUACCAGCACCUGUUUCCCUUGUUUCAUCUCUACCUGUUUCAUUCUUAGUCCUCUU